rnacentral:rRNA from 1 species
UGACAUCCUCUGACAGCUGUAGAGAUACAGUUUCCCUUCGGGGCAGAGAGACAGGUGGUGCAUGGUUGUCGUCAGCUCGUGUCGUGAGAUGUUUGGUUAAGUCCAAUAACGAGCGCAACCCCUAUGGUCAGUUGCCAGCAUUUAGUUGGGCACUCUGGCAAGACUGCCGCGGACAACGCGGAGGAAGGAGGGGACGACGUCAAAUCAUCAUGCCCCUUAUGUCCUGGGCUACACACGUAAUACAAUGGCAACGACAGAGGGCAGCUAACCCGCGAGGGCAAGCAAAUCCCCAAACGUUGUCCCAGUUCGGACUGCAGGCUGCAACCCGCCUGCACGAAGUCGGAAUUGCUAGUAAUGGCAGGUCAGCAUACUGCCGUGAAUACGUUCCCGGGCCUUGUACACACCGCCCGUCACACCAUGAGAGUCUGCAAUACCCGAAGUCAGUAGCCUAACCGCAAGGAGGGCGCUGCCGAAGGUAGGGCCGAUAAUUGGGGUG